rnacentral:rRNA from 1 species
ACGGAAGGCAGCAGUGGGGAAUAUUGCACAAUGGGGGAAACCCUGAUGCAGCGACGCCGCGUGAGUGAAGAAGUAUUUCGGUAUGUAAAGCUCUAUCAGCAGGGAAGAAAAUGACGGUACCUGACUAAGAAGCCCCGGCUAACUACGUGCCAGCAGCCGCGGUAGUACGUAGGGGGCAAGCGUUAUCCGGAAUUACUGGGUGUAAAGGGUGCGCAGGUGGUAAGGCAAGUCAGGAGUGAAAUGCCGGGGCUCAACCCCGGAACUGCUCUUGAAACUGUUUAACUGGAGUGCAGGAGAGGUAAGCGGAAUUCCUAGUGUAGCGGUGAAAUGCGUAGAUAUUAGGAGGAACACCAGUGGCGAAGGCGGCUUACUGGACUGUAACUGACACUGAGGCACGAAAGCGUGGGGAGCAAACAGGAUUAGAUACCCUGGUA